AACGAACGCUGGCGGCGUGCCUAAUACAUGCAAGUUGAGCGCUGAAGGUUGGUACUUGUACCAACUGGAUGAGCAGCGAACGGGUGAGUAACGCGUGGGGAAUCUGCCUUUGAGCGGGGGACAACAUUUGGAAACGAAUGCUAAUACCGCAUAAAAACUUUAAACACAAGUUUUAAGUUUGAAAGAUGCAAUUGCAUCACUCAAAGAUGAUCCCGCGUUGUAUUAGCUAGUUGGUGAGGUAAAGGCUCACCAAGGCGAUGAUACAUAGCCGACCUGAGAGGGUGAUCGGCCACAUUGGGACUGAGACACGGCCCAAACUCCUACGGGAGGCAGCAGUAGGGAAUCUUCGGCAAUGGACGAAAGUCUGACCGAGCAACGCCGCGUGAGUGAAGAAGGUUUUCGGAUCGUAAAACUCUGUUGGUAGAGAAGAACGUUGGUGAGAGUGGAAAGCUCAUCAAGUGACGGUAACUACCCAGAAAGGGACGGCUAACUACGUG
rnacentral:rRNA from 1 species